UUACGGUCAAAUCACGCUGAAAACACCGGUUCUCGUUCGAUCACCGAAGUUAAGCAUCGUAGAGCCAGGUCAGUACUUAGAUGGGGGGCCGCUUGGGAACACCUGGUACUGUAAG
rnacentral:rRNA from 1 species